CUUGGGAUUUUCGAGUACAAUUGCUAUGAUGAAUGCAUUUGUCUUGUCAAUUCUGAGGA
rnacentral:pre_miRNA from 1 species